rnacentral:rRNA from 1 species
GUAGGUGGCAAGCGUUGUCCGGAAUUAUUGGGCGUAAAGCGCGCGCAGGUGGUUCUUUAAGUCUGAUGUGAAAGCCCCCGGCUCAACCGGGGAGGGUCAUUGGAAACUGGGGAACUUGAGUGCAGGAGAGGAAAGUGGAAUUCCACGUGUAGCGGUGAAAUGCGUAGAUAUGUGGAGGAACACCAGUGGCGAAGGCGACUUUCUGGCCUGUAACUGACACUGAGGCGCGAAAGCGUGGGGAGCAAACAGGGAUUAGAUACCCUGGUAGUCCACGCCGUAAACGAUGAGUGCUAAGUGUUGGGGGGGUUUCCCGCCCCUCAGUGCCCGCAGCUAACGCAUUAAGCACUCCGCCUGGGGAGUACGGUCGCAAGACUA